rnacentral:rRNA from 1 species
UUGCUUCUCUUGAGAGCGGCGGACGGGUGAGUAAUGCCUAGGAAUCUGCCUGGUAGUGGGGGAUAACGUUCGGAAACGGACGCUAAUACCGCAUACGUCCUACGGGAGAAAGCAGGGGACCUUCGGGCCUUGCGCUAUCAGAUGAGCCUAGGUCGGAUUAGCUAGUUGGUGGGGUAAUGGCUCACCAAGGCGACGAUCCGUAACUGGUCUGAGAGGAUGAUCAGUCACACUGGAACUGAGACACGGUCCAGACUCCUACGGGAGGCAGCAGUGGGGAAUAUUGGACAAUGGGCGAAAGCCUGAUCCAGCCAUGCCGCGUGUGUGAAGAAGGUCUUCGGAUUGUAAAGCACUUUAAGUUGGGAGGAAGGGUUGUAGAUUAAUACUCUGCAAUUUUGACGUUACCGACAGAAUAAGCACCGGCUAACUCUGUGCCAGCAGCCGCGGUAAUACAGAGGGUGCAAGCGUUAAUCGGAAUUACUGGGCGUAAAGCGCGCGUAGGUGGUUUGUUAAGUUGGAUGUGAAAUCCCCGGGCUCAACCUGGGAACUGCAUUCAAAACUGACUGACUAGAGUAUGGUAGAGGGUGGUGGAAUUUCCUAUGUAGCGGUGAAAUGCGUAGAUAUAGGAAGGAACACCAGUGGCGAAGGCGACCACCUGGACUAAUACUGACACUGA